AGCGAACGCUGGCGGCAGGCCUAACACAUGCAAGUCGAACGAACUCUUCGGAGUUAGCGGCGGACGGGUGAGUAACACGUGGGAACGUGCCUUUAGGUUCGGAAUAACUCAGGGAAACUUGUGCUAAUACCGAAUGUGCCCUUCGGGGGAAAGAUUUAUCGCCUUUAGAGCGGCCCGCGUCUGAUUAGCUAGUUGGUAGUGUAAUGGACUACCAAGGCUACGAUCAGUAGCUGGUCUGAGAGGAUGAUCAGCCACAUUGGGACUGAGACACGGCCCAAACUCCUACGGGAGGCAGCAGUGGGGAAUCUUGCGCAAUGGGCGAAAGCCUGACGCAGCCAUGCCGCGUGAAUGAUGAAGGUCUUAGGAUUGUAAAAUUCUUUCACCGGGGACGAUAAUGACGGUACCCGGGGAAGAAGCCCCGGCUAACUUCGUGCCAGCCGCCGCAGUAAAAC
rnacentral:rRNA from 1 species